GAUGAACGCUGGCGGCGUGCCUAAUACAUGCAAGUCGAGCGAACAGACGAGGAGCUUGCUCCUCUGACGUUAGCGGCGGACGGGUGAGUAACACGUGGAUAACCUACCUAUAAGACUGGGAUAACUUCGGGAAACCGGAGCUAGUACCGGAUAACAUGUUGAACCGCAUGGUUCAACAGUGAAAGACGGUCUUGCUGUCACUUAUAGAUGGAUCCGCGCCGCAUUAGCUAGUUGGUAAGGUAACGGCUUACCAAGGCAACGAUGCGUAGCCGACCUGAGAGGGUGAUCGGCCACACUGGAACUGAGACACGGUCCAGACUCCUACGGGAGGCAGCAGUAGGGAAUCUUCCGCAAUGGGCGAAAGCCUGACGGAGCAACGCCGCGUGAGUGAUGAAGGUCUUCGGAUCGUAAAACUCUGUUAUUAGGGAAGAACAAAUGUGUAAGUAACUAUGCACGUCUUGACGGUACCUAAUCAGAAAGCCACGGCUAACUACGUG
rnacentral:rRNA from 1 species